rnacentral:misc_RNA from 1 species
AAAAUGCGAUAAGUAAUGUGAAUUGCAGAAUUCAGUGAAUCAUCGAAUCUUUGAACGCACAUUGCGCCCCUUGGUAUUCCAUGGGGCAUGCCUGUUCGAGCGUCAUUUGUACCUUCAAGCUCUGCUUGGUGUUGGGUGUUUGUCUCCUGUAGACUCGCCUUAAAACAAUUGGCAGCCGGCGUAUUGAUUUCGGAGCGCAGUACAUCUCGCGCUUUGCACUCAUAACGACGACAUCCAAAAGUACAUUUUUACACUCUUGACCUCGGAUCAGGUAGGGAUACCCGCUGAACUUAA